rnacentral:rRNA from 1 species
UACGUAGGGGGCUAGCGUUGUCCGGAAUCAUUGGGCGUAAAGAGCGUGUAGGCGGCCCGGUAAGUCCGCUGUAAAAGUCAAAGGCUCAACCUUUGAAUGUCAGUGGAUACUGCCGGGCUAGAGUCCGGAAGAGGCGAGUGGAACUCCUGGUGUAGCGGUGGAAUGCGCAGAUAUCAGGAAGAACACCAACGGCGAAGGCAGCUCGCUGGGACGGUACUGACGCUGAGACGCGAAAGCGUGGGGAGCGAACAGGAUUGAGAUACGUCCCGGUA